UGGGGGGCCUUUCGGGAGGCAGCAGUGGGGAAUUUUGGACAAUGGGCGCAAGCCUGAUCCAGCAAUGCCGCGUGAGUGAAGAAGGCCUUCGGGUUGUAAAGCUCUUUUGUCAGGGAAGAAACGGCUGCAGCUAAUAUCUGGGGCUAAUGACGGUACCUGAAGAAUAAGCACCGGCUAACUACGUGCCAGCAGCCGCGGUAAUACGUAGGGUGCAAGCGUUAAUCGGAAUUACUGGGCGUAAAGCGUGCGCAGGCGGUUUUGUAAGUCUGACGUGAAAGCCCCGGGCUCAACCUGGGAAUUGCGUUGGAGACUGCAAGGCUUGAAUCUGGCAGAGGGGGGUAGAAUUCCACGUGUAGCAGUGAAAUGCGUAGAGAUGUGGAGGAACACCGAUGGCGAAGGCAGCCCCCUGGGUCAAGAUUGACGCUCAUGCACGAAAGCGUGGGGAGCAAACAGGAUUAGAUACCCUGGUAGUCCACGCCCUAAACGAUGUCUACUAGUUGUCGGGUUUUAAUUAACUUGGUAACGCAGCUAACGCGUGAAGUAGACCGCGUGGAGUCUG
rnacentral:rRNA from 1 species